rnacentral:tRNA from 1 species
GCUCGCGUAGCCCAACGGCAGAGGCGACAGUCUUAAACAUUGUUCAGUGAAAGUUCAAAUCUUUCCACGCGCA